rnacentral:rRNA from 1 species
CCUACGGGAGGCUGCAGUGAGGAAUAUUGGUCAAUGGACGAGAGUCUGAACCAGCCAAGUAGCGUGAAGGAUGACUGCCCUAUGGGUUGUAAACUUCUUUUAUAUGGGAAUAAAACGUUCCACGUGUGGGAUUUUGUAUGUACCAUAUGAAUAAGGAUCGGCUAACUCCGUGCCAGCAGCCGCGGUAAUACGGAGGAUCCGAGCGUUAUCCGGAUUUAUUGGGUUUAAAGGGAGCGUAGGUGGAUUGUUAAGUCAGUUGUGAAAGUUUGCGGCUCAACCGUAAAAUUGCAGUUGAAACUGGCAGUCUUGAGUACAGUAGAGGGGGGCAGAAUUCGUGGUGUAGCGGUGAAAUGCUUAGAUAUCACGAAGAACUCCGAUUGCGAAGGCAGUUCACUGGACUGCAACUGACACUGAGGCUCGAAAGUGUGGGUAUCAAACAGGAUUAGAUACCCUGGUAGUC